UACAGAGGGGGCAAGCGUUAUUCGGAAUUAUUGGGCGUAAAGGGCGCGUAGGCGGCCUGGCAAGUGGAAGGUGAAAUCCCUCGGCUUAACCGAGGAACUGCCUUCCAAACUGCUUGGCUUGAGUCCGGGAGAGGUGAGUGGAAUUCCCAGUGUAGCGGUGAAAUGCGUAGAUAUUGGGAGGAACACCAGUGGCGAAGGCGGCUCACUGGACCGGAACUGACGCUGAUGCGCGAAAGCGUGGGGAGCGAACAGG
rnacentral:rRNA from 1 species